GAUGAACGCUGGCGGCGUGCCUCAAACAUGCAAGUCGAGCGAGGCUAUGAGUUACCGCAAGGUAAGGCAUAGCCUAGCGGCGAACGGGUGAGUAACACGUGGGUAACCUACCUGGAAGACAGGGAUAACGAUUCGAAAGGGUCGCUAAUACCUGAUAAUAUCCAUCUGCCGGAUGGCGGAGGGAAGAAAGGGGAACCCGCUUUCAGAUGGGCCCGCGUCCCAUCAGCUAGUUGGUAAGGUAAAGGCUUACCAAGGCGACGACGGGUAGCCGGUCUGAGAGGAUGUACGGCCACACUGGGACUGAGAUACGGCCCAGACUCCUACGGGAGGCAGCAGUUGGGAAUCUUAGGCAAUGGACGAAAGUCUGACCUAGCGACGCCGCGUGAGGGAAGAAGGCCUUGGGUUGUAAACCUCUGUCAGUGGGGGAAGAAGGAGGUGACGGUACCCCAAGGAGGAACGCCCCUGACUAACUACGUG
rnacentral:rRNA from 1 species